ensembl:rRNA 5S_rRNA 5S ribosomal RNA
CUUUACAUUGUUACAUGCCUGAUCACAUCUGAUUUUGGAAGCUAAGCAGGGUCUGACUUGGCUGGCAUUUGGGAGACUCCUGAAAAUGCAGUAAACUUUGAGC